UUCACUAUCAUGGGAACAGUAUGGGAAAACCCACCCCCAUGAUUCAAUUACCUCUCACCGUGUUCCUCCCAAGACACAUGGGGACAAUGGGAGCUACAAUUCAAGAGGAGAUUUGGGUGGGGACACAGCAAAACAAUAUCAAUUUUUGCUUUUUUUUUUUUUUUUUUUUUCCAGAUGGAGUUUCGCUCUUGUUCCCCUGACUGGAAUUCAGUGACGCAAUCUCGGCUCACCACAACCUCCGCCUCCUGGGUUCAAGCGAUUCUCCUGCCUCAGCCUCCCGAGUAGCUGGGAUUACAGGUAUGUGCCACCACACCCAGUUAAUUUUGUAUUUUUAGAGGAAACGGGGUUUCUCCAUGUUGGUCAGGCUGGUCUCAAACUCCUGACCUCAGGUGAUCUGCUCGCCUUGGCCUCCCAAGCUGGUAGGGUUACAGGUAUAUCAAUCUUAAAGUAUAGGGCUGUCUGGGAAAAGGCUGGAUACUGGAACAGUGAUCUGAGUCCUGCUAUGAAGGAAAGUAGGGAAUACAUUAUCAGUCACAGCCUUAUCAGCAUGAGUGGGAGAGACUUGGCGUUUUCUAAUUGUUGAUGCCAGGUAAGGAAACUUAGCUGAAAUAUGGGUGUAAAUAUGAAUCCCUUAUGUCUUUAUACUUUUCAGAGUUCUUUGACAUUGAAUCUCAUUGGUUCUUCACACAAACUGUUGCAGUUUUCAACACAGAAAAUAUGAUUCUCUCUCUCGCUCUCUCUCUCGUUUUUUUUUUUUUUUUGCAGAUGGAGAGACAGAGGGAAGAAGAGACUUGGAAUCACUCCGUCCUGGCUGUGGGCUGGAUAGCAAGUUUUGGAAGCGCUGAACACCCACACAGAGCUGGCUGCUCUCAGGCGAGGAGGCAUCUUCACUAAGGAGGUGAGUGAAAAACAAAACCCAACACAAAUCAUGCUUCAAUUUAUAUCCAUUUCCUAUAGUUGGGGGAAGGCUGCAGUGCUGUCUUUUCCUCAUUUGAAAAAGAAAGUAGAACAUUUGGUGUGAAUAAAGGCUGUGGCAAGAAUGACAUGUUUGGACAGCUAUUUCACACUCUUGUUAAAGGCAUUAGCUUUUCUCCAGAAUCAAAAGACAGAGUGGAGACCAGCCUUAUGUCUAAAUGUCAAAGAGCACUGAAAUUCAAAUGCAAUUUUUUAUGCUCAAUUUAUAGGCCCAUUUCACGUUUUUUGUCUUCUGUUUUUAAUUGGUAAGCUCACAAAAGAUUGGGAUAUGUCCUGUUUUAAAAAUUGUUUUCUCAAUUAGGUCAAAUGGUAUUGUAUACAGAGAUGCAGCUCUGAGCAUUUUUCUGAGUCUAUUUGCUUCUUGAAGACACGUCAGGACAGGUGUACUGAUUGUCAGUAUUUAUUACAACCAUGACAUUCGAAAAUAUUCAGAUUCAUUAAGAGCUAAUUAUGUUCGCUACGGAAAAUGGAGCAGAAAACACAAAUAAAAAACUAAAAGCAAUCAUAAUUCCAAACCAGCUGCUAACUACCGUAACAUUUUCUUGUAUAUCUUUCCACUCUUUUACUUUGCAUGUAUGUUUUCAUGCUCAUUGAGUUGUUUUAAUGGGUGGUGCAUGGGUGUGUUGGUAUAUAUUUUACAUAUAUAAGUUUAUAAGUAUACAAGUAUACUUAUAUUUUAAACAUCUUUCAAUGAUAGUAUAAACUUUUUCUCUUUAAAAUUUAUUAUUACAAAUACAAUUAUUCUGGAC
rnacentral:lncRNA from 10 species